rnacentral:rRNA from 1 species
GGGGAAUAUUGGACAAUGGGCGCAAGCCUGAUCCAGCCAUACCGCGUGGGUGAAGAAGGCCUUCGGGUUGUAAAGCCCUUUUGUUGGGAAAGAAAAGCAGUCGGCUAAUACCCGGUUGUUCUGACGGUACCCAAAGAAUAAGCACCGGCUAACUUCGUGCCAGCAGCCGCGGUAAUACGAAGGGUGCAAGCGUUACUCGGAAUUAUUGGGCGUAAAGGGCGCGUAGGCGGCGUCUCAAGUGGAUGGUGAAAUCCCCGGGCUUAACCUGGGAACUGCCGUCCAAACUGAGAGGCUUGAGUCCGGGAGAGGUAAGUGGAAUUCCCAGUGUAGCGGUGAAAUGCGUAGAUAUUGGGAGGAACACCAGUGGCGAAGGCGGCUUACUGGACCGGAACUGACGCUGAGGCGCGAAAGCGUGGGGAGCAAA